GGCUGCAGAGACAGGAAAAAGCAGUUAAGCACCUGAACACACUCCAGGGGCGCUUUGCCAAUGGGAGCCAUGAGGAGGCCUUUGCCCUGAAAAUGCAAACGAACCUGCGGUACCAUUUGCCCCCAGCUUCUAGGAAUUCCUCUGCCUGUUGAAAUGACAUUAAAAGGACAAUGACAGGGCUGUGGCGGGGGUGGGAGGGCAUCCUUGCACAGUGGAGGUAAACGAACCGGGCAAGCAGCAUGCAUCUGUUCAAGACUUCUCUGGUUUCCAUACCACUUUCCAAGGCAAAACGGUGGUGGUUUGGGGAUUGUGGUGGGGGCCGCUUUGUGAGGAUACAGGCAGAGCCUAGGGCAUGAAGGUCCAGCAUACCCACAAACUCUACCAGUGUGUGGGCUGAAGCUGUGGCUGUCCAGGUGCUGGACCCAUCGAGGAACUCACUCAGAAACUGCCAUGGAAGCGAGAAUGGAAAAGAGCGAGCCCUUGAGAACAGCUGGAAGAAGGAGCAUUUCCAGCAGAAGCUACAAUCGUUUACCCUGUGGUAUAAACACCUGGACGGGAAGAGGAAGCCAGAGCUCCUCUGUGGACAGAGCUCAGCUGAGAACUCCCGCCUGGCUGUGACGUCCAGGUCAUGCCGCCUGGAUGCGCUAAGUCCCCAGCUGAGGAUGUCUGCUGUCUGCCCUCCUACCUCUGCUAUCUGCUCCCUUUCUUUGCUCGCUGCACAUUAAUAAAAACACACUCACUUGCGAGUUCA